rnacentral:lncRNA from 10 species
UUGUCUGCAGAGCAUUAGGAAGACAAGCAGGGCCUUCAGUAGGCAUAAGGUGAUGAGGUUCAUGCCGUUGGAUCCCACGGGUGCCCUGGGGAAGAGAUGGUUGGGAAGUCUGAGAGGAAGCAGGAGAGCUUUCGGAGCACAUGGAUGCCGUCCAGAAUGGAGAUGGUUGUGGCUCGGAAGAAAAAGAAAUCACCCAGCUCGGAGUCAGGAUACAUUUGGAGGUCCAGGCCGCCGAGUUUGCUGGUGGGGAAGAUAGGCACCAGAAAGGAAAGAGGACAUCCAGGGCAAUUUCUUCUGCCCCCCAGCCAAUCCGUACAUUGUCCAGAGGCCAAGCCUACUGCUGUUAGAAAACAUAUUUAGAAAUCACUUGGUUCUUCCUUGCCUGAACAUCAUCUAUUUAGUUAGC